rnacentral:misc_RNA from 1 species
AUCAUACUCUUCAGUCUUCAGUGCUUCACAUGAAGAUGCUUUCCGUUGUUUAAUUUGGUCUAAUGACAAGCAAUUUAAAAAUGACUGCUUUUUUCUUUUGGUUGACACGUGUGUGUUUCUCCAUUUGUCUAUUUCCCUUUGACAUGAUGUGUUUCGUUCUUAAGCACUGAAUCUGCUCUUCUUCGGCAACUGUGCCUUUCUUCAAUGCUUUUUCUUGUAAAGGUAAGCAAUUGUCACAUCUCACUUGGUUGGGUUUCUGUUUUUUUGUUUAAAUAUAGUGUUUUAUUUAAAGAAUUCCUGGGACUGUUUGGAGUUUUUGUUUUUGAUAAAUUUUUGAAAGAGGCAUAUCCCUGAAGAUCAGGUGAUUACUCUGUUCUUGUCUUCUUAGCUUGGGCAGUUGGAAGGUGCCUAAGUAGAAAAAAAUAGAAGAGAAAAGAACCUAUAUGUCAAGAGGCUGAGAUAAAUUGCCUCUGUUUCAGGGAACCUGGUUUGCUUGUGUAUUUCCUUUACUUUGCUCGUAUUACUAAUUCUCAUAUUUUUCUCAUUUGAUCCUUACUUUUUAUGACCAAAAGGAUCAAAAGGUUGGUUGGAGGUAGAAAACUCUCUCUCUCUCUCUCU